AUGUGGGGUUAAAGGGUUUAACCCUUUUUUUUUUCGCUGCAUGUUUUCUAAGUUUUGAAAUCAACACAUACUACCUACCCAAUUUUCUAACAACAUGUGUAUGAAUGAUAUCACAAUGAUAAUAACAUGAGUAAUUUGUUAUAAUAUUUUAUAAUUGUUAUAAAAAUGUAUGUUGUAUGGUUAUAGACUAUGGUACAUCCAUGUGAUG
rnacentral:lncRNA from 1 species